UAUGAAUUUAGUGUUGCUUGUCUUUUUUUAAAGUUUGAAUCUUGUUGAACUUCAUCUCUAAUUUUCUUUUUAUUGCAUCAAAAACUCCUAGUGUUGUAUUUUCGAUAUGCAUCUAAAAGUUGUGAAGAGUUCUAAACGCAAUAAUUGUUUUCUUACGUGUCACUAUUUCUAAAAGUUUCACAUUAUCGUCUUCAACUUCUUCAUCAACAUUAUAGACAGAAAUCACAAUUUCUUCUAAAUAUUCUAAAUUUUUUAGUGUGCUUUAUUUUCACCGGAAUAGUCGAGUAAGCAAUUGACAUUU
rnacentral:sRNA from 1 species